CUUGUCAACAUUUUAUUUAUUAUUCAUAGACGACAUAGGAGAAUAAAGGGUUAAUACAACAGAGAAUUGUGCCACUUAAUUUAUUCAUAACUAGUACGUAGAUAUUAGUAGUACAUAUUAAUUAGUGCAGAUUUGGUGGCAAAUAACUCCGUCUCCCCUCUCAUAUUUAUGCUUAUUCACUUGUCUCCAGCUGCAUCUGUAGGAGCUCCCUCAGCCUCAGAUCCUUGUUUUGGCUUGGCUUCACCCUGCAGAUAUAUUAAGCUCCCUCAGAAUCUGCUUUUGUCAAUUUUUUCAGUCAUAAAUUGUGUCCAAAUUAAGAGUAAUUAUCUAAUGUCUUUGUUAAAAGAAGAUGAUACAGUUGUAGUUUCACCCAAGACAAAAAAAAAAACAACGAAAGAAGCUAAAUUUUUUGUCCUCUUAAGAGUAGAAUACAACAGGUAAGUUGUAACGUUAACACCCCCCCUUCUUUUUGUCGGAUAGCAUUGUUCAACUUCUUAAAAACUGGUCAUGCAUGUUUUAUAUGUAGUUACAUUUUUUUCUUUCUAUUUAUUCAAUCUCAAAAUGAGUUUUUGUUGAUCCAAAAUAUAUGAUUUUUUUCAAGGCCAUUAUGGUCCAUGCAGAUAAUUAAAUGGCGGUGUAGAAAACCCAAACUAUUUACAAGCUUGAAUAUAUUGUUUAUGUUUUCUGAAUUUGGGGGGUUCAACCUGGAGUGCAUCCUCACGAUUUUUCUCAAGAAUUUGGGUUAAAGACUUCAAUGCUUCUUCCUGAAAAAGAACUAAAACGUCAGCUGCGCUGUUAGUAUUAUAUAUACUAGUAUAUAUUUUCCAUGGUAAUACAAAAAAUAUAUAUAUAUAUAACGUCAGUUGUUGAACAUUAACGUUUCUAAAAUGCUAUAGCAAAGUGGGAAAAGAAAAGGCUGAUUAAACAAACCCUGGCAAGGGCGAGUUCAUGAGAAUUCAGUGAGAAACCAGAAGGCUUAAUGGACCCAUUUCUCUCUAGCUUUGGUGCAGCUGGGAGAGGUGGUUUUUGGUUUUCCAUUUUCCGGAAACCCCAAAAGGAAAAUAGUGAGAGAUGAAACUGCUUCUUUCUUUAUUUAUAGAAAGGUACGUUCUGG
rnacentral:lncRNA from 1 species